rnacentral:rRNA from 1 species
AAAGGAAUAGACGGGGGCCCGCACAAGCAGUGGAGUAUGUGGUUUAAUUCGAAGCAACGCGAAGAACCUUACCAGGGCUUGACAUGGAGACGACCGCUCUAGAGAUAGAGCUUCCCUUCGGGGCGUCUCACACAGGUGGUGCAUGGUUGUCGUCAGCUCGUGUCGUGAGAUGUUGGGUUAAGUCCCGCAACGAGCGCAACCCUUGUUGUUAGUUGCUACGCAAGAGCACUCUAACGAGACUGCCGUUGACAAAACGGAGGAAGGUGGGGACGACGUCAAAUCAUCAUGCCCUUUAUGUCCUGGGCUACACACGUACUACAAUGGCGUAUACAGCGAGAAGCAAAACGGCGACGUAGAGCAAAUCUCCAAAAGACGCCUCAGUUCAGAUUGCAGGCUGCAACUCGCCUGCAUGAAGUCGGAAUUGCUAGUAAUCGCGGAUCAUCAUGCCGCGGUGAAUACGUUCCCGGGCCUUGUACACACCGCCCGU